rnacentral:snRNA from 1 species
AAAUGUGUGGGUGAUCUGGCUGCGACAUCUGUCACCCCCCUGAUUGCCAGGGUUAUUCAGCUGAUCUGGCUAACUAUGCGGGUGUCCCCUUCCUCCCUCGCCGCCACCCUUGCAUGUUCCUCCCGAAGCUUCAAACUCAGUCUAAGAAGACAACCAUCCCCGAUACAGGAGGACCGUUCUUCAGUCAAGGGGACAUGAGUAGCUGCACUCUUCUUCUGGAAUCUUCCAACAAGCUCUCAAGGUCCAAAUAUGGCAGCCAGGGAAGAGGCAGGUGGAGAAAGCUGG